rnacentral:SRP_RNA from 1 species
UAUGGUCCUGCCAACGCCGGCCCGUGAAAUCCGCCAGGCCCGGAAGGGAGCAACGGUAGCGGUUACCGGCGUGUGGCGGGGCCUUUUUU